rnacentral:rRNA from 1 species
AGUCGAACGGAAAGACUCCUUGCUUGCAAGGGGUACUCGAGUGGCGAACGGGUGAGUAACACGUGGGUGAUCUGCCUUGCACUUCGGGAUAAGCCUGGGAAACUGGGUCUAAUACCGGAUAGGACCAUGCUUUAGUGUGUGUGGUGGAAAGUUUUUUCGGUGCAAGAUGAGCCCGCGGCCUAUCAGCUUGUUGGUGGGGUAAUGGCCUACCAAGGCGACGACGGGUAGCCGGCCUGAGAGGGUGUACGGCCACAUUGGGACUGUGACACGGCCCAGACUCCUACGGGAGGCAGCAGUGGGGAAUAUUGCACAAUGGGCGCAAGCCUGAUGCAGCGACGCCGCGUGGGGGAUGAAGGCCUUCGGGUUGUAAACUCCUUUCGCUAGGGAAGAAGCCACUUGUGGUGACGGUACCUGGAUAAGAAGCACCGGCUAACUACGUGCCAGCAGCCGCGGUAAUACGUAGGGUGCGAGCGUUGUCCGGAAUUACUGGGCGUAAAGAGCUCGUAGGUGGUUUGUCGCGUCGUCUGUGAAAUCCCGGGGCUUAACUUCGGGCGUGCAGGCGAUACGGGCAUAACUAGAGUGCUGUAGGGGAGACUGGAAUUCCUGGUGUAGCGGUGAAAUGCGCAGAUAUCAGGAGGAACACCGAUGGCGAAGGCAGGUCUCUGGGCAGUUAC